rnacentral:rRNA from 1 species
AGUCGAGCGGUAUUGUUUCUUCGGAAACGAGAGAGCGGCGCACGGGUGCGGAACACGUAUGCAACCUGCCUUUAUCUGGGGGAUAGCCUUUCGAAAGGAAGAUUAAUACCCCAUAAUAUUUUGAAUGGCAUCAUUUAAAAUUGAAAACUCCGGUGGAUAGAGAUGGGCACGCGCAAGAUUAGAUAGUUGGUAGGGUAACGGCCUACUAAGUCAGUGAUCUUUAGGGGGCCUGAGAGGGUGAUCCCCCACACUGGUACUGAGACACGGACCAGACUCCUACGGGAGGCAGCAGUGAGGAAUAUUGGACAAUGGGUGAGAGCCUGAUCCAGCCAUCCCGCGUGAAGGACGACGGCCCUAUGGGUUGUAAACUUCUUUUGUACAGGGAUAAACCUUUCCACGUGUGGAAAGCCUGAAGGUACUGUACGAAUAAGCACCGGCUAACUCCGUGCC